GACGAACGCUGGCGGCGUGCUUAACACAUGCAAGUCGAACGGAAAGGCCCUGCUUUUGUGGGGUGCUCGAGUGGCGAACGGGUGAGUAACACGUGAGUAACCUGCCCUUGACUUUGGGAUAACUUCAGGAAACUGGGGCUAAUACCGGAUAGGAGCUCCUGCUGCAUGGUGGGGGUUGGAAAGUUUCGGCGGUUGGGGAUGGACUCGCGGCUUAUCAGCUUGUUGGUGGGGUAGUGGCUUACCAAGGCUUUGACGGGUAGCCGGCCUGAGAGGGUGACCGGCGACAUUGGGACUGAGAUACGGCGCAGACUCCUACGGGAGGCAGCAGUGGGGAAUAUUGCACAAUGGGCGGAAGCCUGAUGCAGAAGCGCUGCGUGCGGGAUGACGGCCUUCGGGUUGUAAACCGCUUUCGCCUGUGACGAAGCGUGAGUGACGGUAAUGGGUAAAGAAGCACCGGCUAACUACGUG
rnacentral:rRNA from 1 species